GGAAGGUGUGUUUUUGGAGAGAGAUGGACCAUACUUUUGGGUUCUUAUCCUUGCUGGUGUUUUCAGAUCCAAUGGGUAAUCUCCAGAAUCCCUGUGAGAUGCAGAAACUGUCAUAACUUUUCUGUGCAAAAAAACCUCCAACACUAUUCCCAGGAUUAUCCGCUUCGAUAACAGACACCAGCUCGGCGAGAUGAGCUAGCUGUAAUCAGGUCAGUACAGAGAGACAAGCUAGCUGCUAUCAGAUCAGUGCAAAGAGACAAGCUAGCUGCAAUCAGACAAGUAGGUGGACUGCCUGCCCGUUUUACAACCCUGGGCCCAACGUUAACAACGUUACUGUUGAUGAGCAGUUUAUGCCAUUUAGGGGCCGCUGCCCCUUCAGGCAGUACUUACUCUCUAAACCUGCAAAAUAUGGAAUGAAGAUCUGGGCUGCCUGUGAUGCUGCUUCAUCAUAUGUGUGGAACUUGCGAGUGUAUAUGGGGAAACCAGUUGGAGGAGUCCCUGAGAAGACCCAAGGGAUGUGGGUUGUCCUGGACGUGACAUAGGGACUCCGUUGCCACAACAUCACAUUCAAUAACUUCUUUACUAAACGCAAGCUGGGACAGGAGCUCCUCAAGAGGAGGCUGACGGCGGUAGGAACAGUAUGAAAAAACAAGCCAGAGCUCCUACCUCAGGCCUGUUCAGUGUAUUAAACAGCUAUCAAUUCCUCUAAGUUUGUGUUCACGGUCGACACGUCUCGUGUCCUAGAGGCAAAAAUGUGGUACUCAUGAGUACGCUGCAUAGGGAUGGGAUAAUCUGUGGCCAGGAACAUCAAAAAACAGAUAUCAUCAUGAAUUGUAAUGCCUCAAAAGGAUGGAUGGACAAUUUAGACAAGCUGGUGACUGGCUACAGCUGCAGAAGAAGAACCCUACGCUGGCCACUUGUGAUAUUCUUCAAAAUCUUGGACAUCUCGGUGUACAACGGGUUUAAACCCAGAUUGGAACAGGGGGAAGCUCCAGAGGAGACGGCUCUUUCUAGAGGAGCUGGACAAGGCAUUGGUAAGACCUCACAUCCAGAGGAGGCAACAUAUCCUAAGGACACCAGCUUCUACAGCCAUCAUUAGGAGGGUUCAGGAGGAUGCUGGUGCCCCAUCUGCCCGACCCACAACUCCAAUACCGGAAGUAUUUCAGCCGGUAGCAACAAGAAGAAGCACUGUGAUGUGUGUGGACCCAAGAAGGACAUGAAGACACAGUGCACAUGCAUCAAGUGCAAUAAAUACAUUUGCAACACACACACAGCCUCAUGUGGUGUGAAGACCGGCCUUAAUGUGUUCAAUGGGGCUCAUUUAUCAAUUCCAUAAUAUACUGUAUAUACUCUGUCC
ensembl:lncRNA